UUGUACGUGUUUUCACACAGGAUACACAGAAACACGAUUAGCUCCUCCUUAGAACUUUGGAAUUGUAAAAAUUGCUCAUCAUUGCCACCUCUUGGGCAGCUACCCUCUCUUAAACAUCUAUGCAUCUUAGCAAUGAUAGGAGUAAAGAGAUUGGGUAGUGAGUUUUACAGAAAUGCUUCUUCUUCCAUUACAGUUAAGGCCUCCUUCCCAUCCUUACAAACUCUUUUUUUCAUUUGCCCAAUUGGGAGAAAUGGUUAUGUUGUGGAUGCAGACAUGGAGAAUUCCCUCGUCUUCAGGAGCUUUAUAUAAUCCAAUGUCCCAAACUUACUGGGAAAUUACCAAAACGGCUUCGAUCAUUGAAGAAACUAAAAAUUCUUUCUUGUCCACAACUACAUACGGCUUCACUCAGAGUUCCUUCAAUCAGUGAAUUGGUGAUGAUUGACUAUGGUAAAUUGCAGUUGAAAAGGCCAAAUUGUGGCUUUACUUCUCUUCAAACUUCAGACAUUCAAAUUUCAGACAUCUCUCAGUGGAAGCAACUGCCAGCGGGAUUGCAGCACCUCCAAAUUAUAAAAUGUGACUCUGCAGAGACCUUGCUAGAGGAGAGAAUCUUGCAAACCAACAGUUGUUUUCUGAAAUUCUUGGUAAUCAACUCUUGUUCUUUUUCAAGAUGCUUCCACAGAGUUGGUUUGCCCACUACAUUGAAAACACUGCACAUUUACAGGUCUACCAAACUAGACUUUCUCCUACCUGAGUUGUUCAAAGGCCACCUCCCAUUCCUAGAAUAGUUUCGGAUAUGUUAUGGUAGCUGUGAAUCUCUCUCAUUAUCCUUCUCAUUAGGAGCCUUCCCCAGGUUGACUCAUCUGAUAAUCGAUGGUCUCGAGGGGCUUGAAAACCUGUCGAUUGGGGUUCUUGAGGGGAUCUCACAUCUCUUGGUUUCUUGAACAUUCACAAUUGCCCUGAUCUUGUAUUUACUGAAUUGCCAGCUCUCAAUUCGGCAUGCUAUCAGAUCUGGGGGUGCUCGAAGCUCAAGUUGCUGGCGCAUAACUCUUCAUCUUUGAAGAGAUUGAUUUUAAAGCGCUGUCCAGAAUUGUUGUUUCAGAGAGGAGGUCUGCCCUCCAAUCUAUGUGCACUUGAAAUUUGGGACUGCGACAAACUCACACCCCUGGUGGACUUGGGUUUGCAAAUGUUGGUCUCUCUCACACAUUUCACAUUCAAAGGUGGAUGGGAAGAGUUGGAGUCAUUGCCCAAGGAUUGCCCACUGCCCUCCAUACUUACCACUCUUAAACUCGAAAAUGUUUCAAAUCUCAAGUCUCUGGACAGCAUGGGGCUCCAACAACUUACCUCUCUCACAAACUUAUCCAUCUACUACUGCCCUGAGCUCCACUCCUCUGGGGAAGAGGGGCUUCAACAUCUCACCUCUCUUGAAGAAUUGCAGAUCAGUGGUUGCCCUGCCCUCCUGUCCUUAAUGGGGUCUGGUCUUCAACACCUUGCCUCUCUCAAACAAUUAUACAUCAAUGACUGAGAAAAAAGUGGGUCUUCAAAGCUAUGCCUCUCUUAAAAAGCUACAUAUUUCAUUCUGCCCUGAGCUCCAAUUCUUGACACAAGUGGGUCUUCAACAUUUCACGUCCCUUGAAGAAUUAUGCAUCCCCUACUGCCCCAAGCUUCAAUAUUUGACCAAAGAGAGACUGCCGGCCAUCGGUGCCGAUUUGAGAAAGGUGAAGAUUGGUGUCAUAUAGCUCACAUUCGACGUAUAGUAAUAGAUGGUGUGCUAUUCUAAUGAAGGUGGAACUGCAUGAAUGCAAAGUCUGGUUCUUUGCCCAAAAUAUGUUUCUUCAAAAUGGGAUGAUGUGCCACAUUGAAUGCCAGUUUGAUUUAUUAUUAUAAAUGACUUUUGGUGUCUUUCAGGUUAGGCUGUGCUUCACUCUCAUUAUGGUACUGAUCGUAGCUUACAUCUUGUCUUACAUACUUCUAAGAUGGAUUGAUGUUUACAUUGUGCAUAUGCUCAACAUCUCUACAGGUCUGAUUUCUUGAACCACCAACUGUUAAAUGGAAUAUCCUUUCAUUCUCAAGCUCAUUUCAAUAGACUUAUUCCCUAAAUAUUCAUGUCAGAAUUUGAGUUCUGAUUUCUUGCCAAAGAAUCCUGAGAGCCAUCUCUGAUUAUCAAGUUUCAGAAAGGUGCAGAGCAUGCUCUACUUGUUUUUUUUUAAGAGGCUUUUUCUUAAGCUAGAUCAUCAGAAGUUGGAACAAAGAUAUGAAGAAAGGGAAGCUCAACCACAGGCGCAGAGGAAAUCAAUGGUAUCGGUAAUUGCAAGAAUCUCAGGUCACCCUGCACACUCCAGUACUUGCCUGUCCACCUGCCUCUCCUUUCUCAAUAUAAAGAACUGUCUAGGGCUAAUGGACCUCCCUCAGUAUUGUUUUCCAUGGGCUAAUGCAUUGAGAAUACAUGGCCAGCUUUCCCUUGAACCGCUUAUGAUUAUCAGUUCUAGGAGGCUGCAUGACUCUCUUUUGGGUAUGUAACAACAGACACAUACACUACCUUCUCAUCCCAACACUUCUCACAAGAUGGGUGCAGAGCAUGCUCUGUUUCUUUGAUUUAAGAUUAAUUCUGAAGCUGGGAGUCUGGAACAAAGAUAGAAGAAGAGCAGGGAAGAUUGACUUGAGGUACACAACAACAAAGACACAUGAUAUGUAGUGUUGGUCACUGGCAAUGCAUUGGUUUAUCUCUAUUGCAUUCUGACUAGCUUUUGCAUCCAAAUACCCCUUCUGAUCUCGAUGCUAUGUUGAAGGGACUGCAGAACCUCAGCCCUCUUCAAGAACUUCAUGUCACUUUCCCCAUGCUUUUGAUGGUGAACACAGCCAACUUAAAUAGUCCAUAUGUUGAAACAAUGUUUACAAUGCAGGUGCCCCUAGCAGCUCUACAGAUUUGGUUUCCUGAUUAGCAUUCUUUGCAUAUGCUCAUGGACCCCUUUCAGGUUUGUUUUCAGUGGGCUAAUGCAUCAAAAGCAACUAAUGAUUAUCAGUUCUCAGAGGCAUGACAUUUUUUAGAUUUAGGACUCAUCUAGCAUACCAUAAUUCCAUAUUAGAACCCGACAAAGAUAAGUAAAAUAAGACAAUGUAAAUGGUCUGUCUUGUAAGACCAGCUUGCAUUACUUUGAAACCUUGUUUUCUCCUUUGCAGCAUGAAAUGACUUUUCCAAGUCAAUAAUUUACUGCAGUCUCUCUUGCUUGUCAUUCUAUUAUGCAGCAUGCACCGUUUUUCCCAUUUUAAGAAUUUUUCUGAAGCUAGAAACCUGAAACAAAUAUAUGAAGAAGAGUAUGGAAAG